rnacentral:rRNA from 1 species
GGGAUAACACCUGGAAACAGAUGCUAAUACCGCAUAGGUCAUUUGACCGCAUGGUCAAAUGAUUAAAGAUGGCUUUGCUAUCACUUCUGGAUGGACCUGCGGCGUAUUAGCUAGUUGGUAAGGCAACGGCUUACCAAGGCGAUGAUACGUAGCCGAGUUGAGAGACUGAUCGGCCACAUUGGGACUGAGACACGGCCCAGACUCCUACGGGAGGC